rnacentral:SRP_RNA from 1 species
GCCAGAUGCGGUGGCACGCGCCUGUAGUCCCAGCUACUCGGGAGGCUGAGACAGGAGGAUCGCUUGAGCCCAGGAGUUCUGGGCUGUAGUGUGCUAUGCGAUUGGGUGUCCGCACUAAGUUCAGCAUCAAUAUGGUGACCUCCCUGGAGCGGGGGACCACUAGGUUGCCUAAGGAGGGGUGAACCGGCCCAGGUUGGCAAUGGAGCAGGUCAAAACUCCUGUGCUGAUUAGUAGUGGGAUCGCGCCUGUGAAUAGCCACUGCACUCCAGCCUGGGCAUCAUAGCGAGACCCCAUCUCU